rnacentral:rRNA from 1 species
CGCNACUCCUCUUGAUUGUGGUUUGCCCAUAGCANGUGAAAGGCCUAUUGGCCGUAGCCUCGUGCUGAAGGCCGGCGGUGAUGGCAGUCCUUAGAGUCGGUUUGUUUGGGAUUGCAGACCGAAGUAGGUGGUAAACUCCACCUAAGGCUAAAUACGAUCGCGAGUCCGAUAGCGCACAAGUACCGUGAGGGACAGUUGAAAAGAACUUUGAAGAGAGAGUUCAAAGUACGUGAAACCGUUCAGAGGUAAACGGGUAGAAAGUCGAAUUGAAGGCUGACAAUCAAACCGUUGGUUAAGUCGGGGUUGGGCUGGUAACACGUUAAAGGUUGCCAGUUUACUCGUAUGGCUGGCUACGGUUGUAUUUGUUGGCUUUGGAUCGCCGCAACGGCAGUGACUGACCGGCUGGCGUCUAUUCCUCUGGUCGAUGUAGAUCCGUAUGGGUCUCGUAUAAAACGUCGGCACAUGGGUAGGCGUCCCGCGUACAUGGCACAGUCGAUAAUGAACAGUAGUCUAAGCGUUCCAACUGGUUAUCCGUUCGUUUUGUAUUGGCGGUUUGAUCUUAAACAAGUUCAGCUGCUGAUAUCAGGGCGGCGGUGGCUGGUUUAAAGACGGAACAAAGGCUACAUUGGCGGCGUUAGACUACGAAUUGUCUACCUGACCCGUCUUGAAACACGGACCAAGGAGUCUAACAUGUGCGCGAGCCAUUGGGAUUGAUUAUAAUAACGAUACCCAAAGGCAAAGUGAAAGCGAAAAUGGUGAGAUCUGUCGUUAAUUUGUUAAAGCAAAUAACGGCGGCGCAUCAUCGUCACGCCUCAACUCGGCUUCGGCUGAANAGGCGCANACUGAGCGCACAGGUUGGGACCCGAAAGAUGGUGAAGUAACGGUUCUAACGUGCAAAUUGAUCGUCGCAGCUUCGUAUAGUGGGCGAAAGACUAAUCGAACCAUCUAGUAGCUGGUUCCCUCCGAAGUUUCCCUCAGGAUAGCUGGCACUUUCGGAGAGCAGUUUUGUCCGGUAAAGCGAAUGAUUAGAGGCCUUGGGGACAUAACGACCUCAACCUAUUCUCAAACUUUGAAUGGGCAAGAAGAGGGACUCACUUAAUUGGAGUCUUCUCAUCCUUUAUGCGAAUGCUUGAGUGCCAAGUGGGCCAUUUUUGGUAAGCAGAACUGGCGCUGUGGGAUGAACCAAACGUCUAGCUAAGGCGCCAAAUGCUAACGCUCAUCCGACCCAUUAAAGGUGUUGGUUGAUAGAGACAGCAGGACGGUGGCCAUGGAAGUCGGAACCCGCCAAGGAGUGUGUAACAACUCACCUGCCGAAUCAACCAGUCCUGAAAAUGGAUGGCGCUGAAGCGUUGUGAGCCUAUGCUAGACCGGCAUUGCAAUAUUUUUUAAUCAACACAAUCUAUCCCGUAUAAGAGGCUCUCUGUUAUAUGCUUUAAAUCUUAGGGAGAGGCCCCGACUAGAUUUUCCACAGGCGCAUAUUGGGUGGUAGUAGCAUAUAUUCAAACGAGAACUUUGAAGCGAAGGGGAGAAGGGUUCCAUGUGCACCGCAUUUGCACAGGGCUCAGGCGCUCAAAAGAGAUGGGCAAANGCCUUUUUAAAAGGAGGUUUCUUUUAUAUCUAACAUUAAUUAAUGAAUGCCUGAUUUUGGUCGAAAGGGAAUCGGGUUAAUAUUCCCGAACCUGGACGCGGAGAUGGAACCGUAGUGUAACAACUGCGGUUCAGUGCGGUAACGCAAACGAUCUCGGAUUCGUCGGUAGGAGUCCCGGGAAGAGUUCUCUCUUCUUUGUAAGGGGCUGAAUCCCUGGAAUCGGCUUAGCCGGAGAUAGGGAUAUUGCACAAGCGCCCGUAAAGCACCACACUUCUUGUGGUGUCCGGUGCACGACUGUCGACACUUAAAAAUCCGAGCUAGACGUUCAUAAUGUUCGCGCCAGGCCGUACCCAUAUCCGCAGC